rnacentral:tRNA from 1 species
ACCUGGGUGGCUCAGUCAGUUGAGCAUCUGACUUCGGCUCAGGUCAUGAUCUCACGGCUUGUGGGUUCGAGCCCCACGUCAGGCU